GAGACUCCCUUCUGGGGCAAGACUUGCUUCAGUGGGGCUUUGGUGUUCACUGAGUCUGCCCCCUGAGUGUGUCCCU
rnacentral:pre_miRNA from 1 species